rnacentral:rRNA from 1 species
GGGCCCGCACAAGCGGUGGAGCAUGUGGUUUAAUUCGAUGAUACGCGAGGAACCUUACCAGGGCUUAAAUGUAGAGCGACAGAGGUGGAAACACCUCCUUCUUCGGACGGUCUACAAGGUGCUGCAUGGUUGUCGUCAGCUCGUGCUGUGAAGUGUCGGGUUUAAGUCCCAUAACGAGCGCAACCCCUAUUUCUAGUUGCCAGCGGUUCGGCCGGGGACUCUAGAGAAACUGCCAGCGUAAGCUGUGAGGAAGGUGGGGAUGACGUCAAAUCAUCACGGCCCUUACGUCCUGGGGCCACACACGUGCUACAAUGGUAAGGACAGAGGUUGCAACCCGCGAGGGUGAG